UGAUUGCUCAUUAUUUUACAGAUAAAAGGAUGAUGAGGGGGUCUAGGAUUUGCCCAAGAUCGGCUAGUAAGCAGGAUCCGGGGCUCCGACCCAGGGCUGAUCAUUCUCAGAAGAUUUUGCCCUAUUCUCAGCAUCUAGACCUGGAACAGAACGGGAGCAAGGAUGUCUGGUGCCUAGUGAUAUCCACACCCGAGGAGUGUCUGCGUGUGCACAGCUGACUGCUCAGGGCUCGAGUGGAGGCCCUAAUAUGAAUGGAGACCUAGUCUGCUGGUCGAGACCUUGGCAGUGACCACUGUGGGCAAUGAGCCAUCGACCAACAAU